AGUGAACGCUGGCGGUAGGCCUAACACAUGCAGGUCGAACGGCAGCACAGUAAGAGCUUGCUCUUACGGGUGGCGAGUGGUGGACGGGUGAGGAAUACAUCGGAAUCUACUUUUUCGUGGGGGAUAACGUAGGGAAACUUACGCUAAUACCGCAUACGACCUACGGGUGAAAGCAGGGGAUCUUCGGACCUUGCGCGAUUGAAUGAGCCGAUGCCGGAUUAGAUGGUUGGCGGGGUAAAGGCCCACCAAGGCGACGAUCCGCAGCUGGUCUGAGAGGAUGAUCGGCGACACUGGAGCGGAGACACGGUCCAGACGCCUACGGGAGGCAGCAGUGGGGAAUAUGGGGCAAUGGGCGCAAGCCUUAUCCAGCCAUACCGCGUGGGUGAAGAAGGCCUUCGGGUUGUAAAGCCCUUUUGUUGGGAAAGAAAAGCAGCAGGUUAAUACCCCGCUGUUCUGACGGUACCCAAAGAAUAAGCACCGGCUAACUUCGUG
rnacentral:rRNA from 1 species